rnacentral:lncRNA from 1 species
GAGGUCCUUCAGGUCUAUCUCCAUCUUUUUCUUUGAAGCUACAGCAAGCGCCCGCUGUUUCCUCUCAUCCUCCAGCUCCGCCUCGAGCUCCCGCACCUAAUGGACAACAUCGGGUUAUGCUGGGUUACAUCCAAGUAUCUGCUCGCAGAACAGGCAGACUGUUCUCAAGUGGGGGGCUCUGGUUACUCGGGUGAGUGGAAACUUCUGUUACUCUGUAGAGGUCUCUGUUACCAAACAGUUACUAUCAACAGAAAACCACAGUAGCUGAAUUUUGUUCAAAGGGGUCUUUAAACACCACCACCUAGUACAAACCAUCCCACUGACUGCUACGAGGGCAUGCGAGAAGGCAGCCAGUGACCUGAGCUCGGUGUAGAUGAAGCCAAGAUGGAAAAACCCAAGACAAUACGGUAACCAUGUAAUAAAGGCUGGGGUAGGCACAGAGCGGGCAUGGGGUGGUUGCUAAGAGGUACAGAGGACUAAGCAGGCAUUCCUGUUUCCUAGAGCUGUGAGGACAUGGGGCAUGGCCAUGUUGCAGGGGUGUCAGAACCAGGCAGAAACUGCCUUUGAUCAGCAGGAAAGGGGGGAGCAGUCAAAGCUGUCCAAUGGAGGAGGGACAAAAUGAAGGCCUGCUCUGGAGCAGGCAGAUGGGAGAGUGAGGAUGAGUAAGAUGUGGGCUGGAAACCGAGGUGGACACACCUGUCAGCCACUCACUCACUCUGUGGCACUCUUCACUCAGCCUCCUAGUGUGCAGUGGGGAUAGGGAACUGUGCUCACACUGUGUGAGGGAUGCUCAGAAGAAGGUGCUCUGGAGUCCUUAAACCAAAUCCUAACGCCUCUGUCACCAAUGAUGAGGACCAGACACAGAGCUGUUGAGCUCCAAACCUUAUCAGCCCAUGAGUCCACAGGGACUGUGUGUCAUUGCCUUGACAUGGUCUUCCCAACCUGUCCUGCUUCUUCCACUUAUUCAGCCAUAAAUGAAUGUUUCGUCAUGUAUUUAUUAAGGUAUAGGUCAUAAAUACCUUAAUAAAUACCUGCACCCUAUGUAGUGCAGUAGCAGCUGGAGGCUCAGCGAGCAAAGAAAGGUCCCUGCCUUCACAACCUUCCGCUUCCUGCAAAGAGGAUGAUGGCUGGUGUGGGAGCUGGUAUGGAGGCACCAAGGCUUGACGGAGUGGUGGCUCCACUGGUCCUCUCCAAAGGGGAGAAACAAGGCCACCGCUGCUGCUGCUCUGCAGGGGUUGGCAUGGGAGAGGAGGAGCAGGGCAGCUGCUUCCGCAUAGGGCAGAGGUGCUCGUCAUCUGCUUGCUGUGUUCUGCAGAGACCUGGGGCUGUACCUCAAGGCACAGGAUAGCAGAAGGCUCCUAAUGUAGAGCCACUUACAUGAAUUUCAAAGUGUGGUUUAAAAAAAUUUCUACAAAUUCUUUAAUACUCCCCACCUUAAAGAGUUGGAGCAUAAUCUCCUCUUGAAUGUGGGCCAGACUUAGUGACUUGCUUCUAAUAAACAGAAUAAACAAGUGAUCACAUGAGACUUGGGAGAUGAGGUCAUAAAAGGCCCGGAAGCUUCCUCCUUGCUUGCUUUCUUUUGGAUCUCUCACUCUCCUGAAGCUCCCUCCAGGACAGUCA